CGCGAGGGCGGAGGGAUCCGCGUUCGGCUGAGGGAGACUGAGGUGAAGGGGCCCCCGGAAACGGGUCCGGAAAUCUGGAUGAAAUCAGUUUGGGGUUAGUAUGGUGAUUCAUGGAGUGAGGAUUCUAGGCUCCUGCUAUGUUGUUGCCCUACUAUGUGUGGCUUCCAUUUUCCAAAGUCACUUCAUGGUCCACAAUGGCUGCUGGAGAUCUGACCAUUCCAGGGAACAGGAAGGAUGAAGGGAUUCAAAGAAAAGCACACCUUUUCUGUUUAAAGACUAUUCCCAAAAGCUGUACACAAGCUUCUGCAAGAAAGGCUGGAAAAGGUAGUAUAUUUUUUUAUAGUAAGCCAGUGACCAGCUGUAAAAUUUGAGAUUCUAUUACUCUAGAACUGAGGUCAGCAAACUAUGGCCCGUGGGCCAGCCACUUGUUUUUAUAAAUAAAAUUUUAUUGGAAUACA